GGGGAAUAUUGCACAAUGGGGGAAACCCUGAUGCAGCGACGCCGCGUGAAGGAAGAAGUAUCUCGGUAUGUAAACUUCUAUCAGCAGGGAAGAAAAUGACGGUACCUGACUAAGAAGCCCCGGCUAACUACGUGCCAGCAGCCGCGGUAAUACGUAGGGGGCAAGCGUUAUCCGGAUUUACUGGGUGUAAAGGGAGCGUAGACGGAUGGACAAGUCUGAUGUGAAAGGCUGGGGCUCAACCCCGGGACUGCAUUGGAAACUGCCCGUCUUGAGUGCCGGAGAGGUAAGCGGAAUUCCUAGUGUAGCGGUGAAAUGCGUAGAUAUUAGGAGGAACACCAGUGGCGAAGGCGGCUUACUGGACGGUAACUGACGUUGAGGCUCGAAAGCGUGGGGAGCAAACAGGAUUAGAUACCCUGGUAGUCCACGCGGUAAACGAUGAAUGCUAGGUGUCGGGUGACGAAGUCAUUCGGUGCCGCCGC
rnacentral:rRNA from 1 species